AGACGAACCGUCCAAACGUUAUUCGGAAUCACUGGGCUUAAAGGGUGCGUAGGCGGCCCGGAAAGUUGGGUGUGAAAUCCCUCGGCUCAACCGAGGAACUGCAUUCAAAACUACCGGGCUUGAGGGAGAUAGAGGUGAGCGGAACUCAGGGUGGAGCGGUGGAAUGCGUUGAUAUCCUGGGGAACACCAGUUGCGAAGGCGGCUCACUGGGUCUUUUCUGACGCUGAGGCACGAAAGCUAGGGGAGCGAAGAGGAUUAGAUACCCUCGUAGUCCUAGCUGUAAACGAUGAGCACUAGAUCGAAGGACUUCGGUCCUUCGGUCGUAGCGAAAGUGAUAAGUGCUCCGCCUGGGGAGUAUGGUCGCAAGGCUGAA
rnacentral:rRNA from 1 species